UUUCUUUUGCCGCUCAGCCACACAAGAUCACCCGCUGGACUUAAGCAUAUCAAUAAGCGGAGGA
rnacentral:rRNA from 1 species